rnacentral:rRNA from 1 species
GAUGAACGCUGGCGGCGUGCCUAAUACAUGCAAGUCGAGCGAACAGACGAGGAGCUUGCUCCUCUGACGUUAGCGGCGGACGGGUGAGUAACACGUGGAUAACCUACCUAUAAGACUGGGAUAACUUCGGGAAACCGGAGCUAAUACCGGAUAAUAUAUUGAACCGCAUGGUUCAAUAGUGAAAGACGGUUUUGCUGUCACUUAUAGAUGGAUCCGCGCCGCAUUAGCUAGUUGGUAAGGUAACGGCUUACCAAGGCAACGAUGCGUAGCCGACCUGAGAGGGUGAUCGGCCACACAUGAACUGAGACACGGGCCAGACUCCUACGGGAGGCAGCAGUAGGGAAUCUUCCGCAAUGGGCGAAAGCCUGACGGAGCAACGCCGCGUGAGUGAUGAAGGUCUUCGGAUCGUAAAACUCUGUUAUUAGGGAAGAACAAAUGUGUAAGUAACUAUGCACGUCUUGACGGUACCUAAUCAGAAAGCCACGGCUAACUACGUG